UCUGUCAUCACACUGGAUGAGAUAAAGAGCAAGAAAAGAUGCCCCCGAGCCCAGGGCUUGCAGAACAGUUCUGGGUGGAGGAGGAAGAUGCAGGAAAACCAUCCCAGAAAGCGGCAGCAGGAGCCUGCUCCAUGGCAGGUCCCCGACGCUAAUGGCUGGGCAAGGCUUGCAUCUACAGAGCCCACAUCGUCAGGUGAUCGAUCAUUCACUGGGCCUUCACAUCAGAGGGGAGAUUUGGACUCUGCUGUUCCGAGGCGGGGGUGUGGAACAGUGAUUAGGAACUGAUCCAUAAAGCUGCUUUGGACUAUGAAGCGAGAGCAAGAAGUGGAGCAAUGGGACCCAGACUUCCUACAACCCAAAGAACAGAAACAAACUUCCCGUGCGAUCUGCAGAGAGACGGAGACUGAGACACGCAAUCACCGUUGCCUUGGCUUUAACCGCAGCAAGCAAGAAAACCUUCUGGCUAUCUGAAGAUAUCUGCGUUAUUCAGAACUGUCCUGAAGGGAUCAGAACAAGUCUUCCAGGGACCUGAAACCCAAUGACAGCAGAGGGCCUACGAUCUCCCCCAAGUGUCACGGGAGAUGUCCCUAUCUCAGAGCCGGAAGGACCAGAGCACCUCUGGACAAGGACAUCUUAUUUUUCUUUAAUGAUUGCCCUGACGGCACUGGCCAGGGAGGGCAGCUGCAGGGAAAAGGAGCGGCGAGCGCUUGCUUGACAGUGUCGAGGACUAACACUGGAGUUUCCUUCCAAAAUAAAUGCGACAAGAAAUGUACUGUCUGAUAAGAGAAACGGAAGGGGAAGAUAAGAGUCCCUCCAACCGACUGAGUGCACAUGUGACUUCGGCCACCCCUCUCUCCUUUCUGCCCAAGCCCGGCAGUGGGGAAUGACAAUCCUUUCUCUCUCUAAAGAGAGCCUGAGUUCCCACAGAAGGCCCAGACCUCAGAGGACAGGCUGGUCAGCGUCCCCGGGAAGAGAUGUGCCCCUAAGAAUCACACGAGAGAAGAGAGUGAGCUGAUCAAGUUCUUCUUGCAGUAAUUCGGGAAUUAUUUGUGGCAGAUAAUAAAGGGCCAGUGAGUGCCAGG